rfam:Heterocephalus glaber contig40809, whole genome shotgun sequence.
GGAUGUGAGGGCGAUCUGGCUGUGACAUCUGUCACCCAUUGAUAGCCAGGGUUGAUUCAGCUGAUCUGGCUGGCUAGGCGGGUGUCCCCCUCCUCCCUCACUGCUCCACAUGGAUCCCUCCAGAAGCUGAGUGCUCGGUUGAAGAGGAUGACCACUCCCGAUAGAGGAGGUCUGUUUCCUCAGUCAAGGGUAUGUCAGUAGCUCGGCUCCACUGCUAGAACCUCCAAGCAAGUUCUCAAUUUAGGUAGGAACUGAGGUCUUUAUUGAGCACAUACUAUAAUGCUUGGGUCUGAGAAUAUAUUUAUUUUAUAUAUAUAUCAUU